CUCCAGCUUCUCCAGCAUCGACGAAAUUCUGCACCAACAGAAUUGGUGCUAGAAGGAGGGCGGCUGUGUCUUCGCAGUGCCUUUGUUCUUAAAGGAGUACUCAACGGGAUUGUCUUCGAUCAUCUUCCUCAAUAUUUUCUUCUUCUUCUCCUACCAGAUCUCCACCUGAUGCCUCCCUGAAAGGCAUCCACCAGGCAUUCCACGGCCUCUACG
rnacentral:lncRNA from 1 species